rnacentral:rRNA from 1 species
UACAGAGGGUGCGAGCGUUGUUCGGAAUUACUGGGCGUAAAGCGUGCGCAGGCGGUUUCUUAAGUCAGAUGUGAAAGCCCCGGGCUUAACCUGGGAACUGCGUUUGAAACUGGGAGACUUGAGUGUGGCAGAGGGGGGUGGAAUUCCACGUGUAGCAGUGAAAUGCGUAGAUAUGUGGAGGAACACCGAUGGCGAAGGCAGCCCCCUGGGUUAACACUGACGCUCAUGCACGAAAGCGUGGGGAGCAAACAGG